UUAACUCAAAUUUGUAUGGAGUUGGCACGUUUGCCUACGUUUGCUACUAGGGGCGCUGUUCCAACUGUACCUAAUUAUACUAAUUUGAGUUA
rnacentral:pre_miRNA from 1 species